UACGUAGGUGGCAAGCGUUGUCCGGAUUUACUGGGCGUAAAGCGCACGUAGGCGGAUCGUUAAGUCGGGGGUGAAAUCCCGAGGCUCAACCUCGGAACUGCCUUCGAUACUGGAAGUCUUGAGUCCGGGAGAGGUGAGUGGAACUCCGAGUGUAGAGGUGAAAUUCGUAGAUAUUCGGAAGAACACCAGUGGCGAAGGCGGCUCACUGGCCCGGUACUGACGCUGAGAUACGAAAGCGUGGGGAGCAAACAGG
rnacentral:rRNA from 1 species